rnacentral:rRNA from 1 species
GCAGCAGUAAGACUAUGGGUGAUAAGGUCCAUGGUCAAAAGGGAAACAGCCCAGACCGCCAGUUAAGGUCCCAAAAUUAUGCUAAGUGGGAAAGGAGGUGGAGUCGCUUAAACAACUAGGAGGUUGGCUCAGAAGCAGCCAUCCUUUAAAGAGUGCGUAAUAGCUCACUAGUCGAGUGGCUCUGCGCCGAAAAUGUACCGGGGCUAAACAUAUUACCGAAGUUAUGGAUUUAUAAUUUAUUAUAAAUGGUAGGGGAGCGUUCUAAGGGCGCUGAAGGUAGACCGUGAGGACUACUGGAGCGCUUAGAAGUGAGAAUGCCGGUGUGAGUAACGCUAGGAGGGUGAGAAUCCCUCCCACCAAUUGACUAAGGGUUCCAGGGUACGGUUCGUCUUCCCUGGGUUAGUCAGGACCUAAGCCGAGGCCGAAAGGCGUAGGCGAUGGACAACAGGUUUAUAUUCCUGUACUGGCUAUAUGACUGAUGGAGCGACGGAGAAAGCAAGUAAGAGCCUAUUAUUGGAUUUAGGUCUAAGCACAAAGAGUGAUGCGUAAGUAAAUCUGCGACAUUAUUAAACUUGAAGUGCGAUGGCGAAGGGUCCCACGGGAACCAAAGUCUUAUGCAGCUAUGCUUCCAAGAAAAACUUCUAAAGAUAUCAUAUAGUUACCUGUACCAAGUACCGACACAGGUGGUCAAGGAGAGUAUCCUAAGGUGAGCGAGAUAACCAUGGGUUAAGGAACUCGGCAAAAUUGCCCUGUAACUUCGGGAUAAAGGGAGGUCUCUUCGGAGACCCACAGAAAAAAGGCCCAAGCAACUGUUUACCAAAAACAUAGGUCUCUGCUAAAGCGAAAGCUGAUGUAUAGGGGCUGACGCCUGCCCAGUGCUGGAAGGUUAAGAGGAUAGGUUAGAUGGACGCAAGUCGAUAACAUCAAAGCCUUGAAUUGAAGCCCCAGUGAACGGCGGCCGUAACUAUAACGGUCCUAAGGUAGCGAAAUUCCUUGUCAGGUAAGUUCUGACCCGCACGAAAGGCGUAAUGAUUUGGGCGCUGUCUCAACCAUGGACUCGGUGAAAUCUUAAUACCUGUGAAAAUGCAGGUUACCCGCGACAGGACGGAAAGACCCCAUGGAGCUUUACUGUAGCUUGAUAUUGUGAUCAGGUAAUGUAUGUAGAGGAUAGGUGGUAGACUAUGAAGUAUGGACGCUAGUUCAUGCAGAGUCGCCCUUGGAAUACCACCCUUACGUUGCUUGAUUACUAACUUAUUCCCGUGAUCCGGGAAGAGGACAGUGUCUGGUGGGCAGUUUGACUGGGGCGGUCGCCUCCCAAAAAGUAACGGAGGCGCCCAAAGGUUCCCUCAGAUUGGUCGGAAAUCAAUCGAAGAGUGUAUUGGUAUAAGGGAGCUUAACUGUGAGACUUACAAGUCGAGCAGAUGCGAAAGCAGGGCAAAGUGAUCAGGCGGUAGAGAAUGGAAUUGCCGUCGCUUAACGGAUAAAAGUUACCCUGGGGAUAACAGGCUGAUACCACCCAAUAGUUCAUAUAGACGGUGGUGAUUGGCACCUCGAUGUCGGCUCGUCACAUCCUGGAGGUGGAUUCGCUUCCAAGGGUUGGGCUGUUCGCCCAUUAAAGUGGCACGCGAGCUGGGUUCAGAACGU